rnacentral:rRNA from 1 species
AUUGAACGCUGGCGGCAGGCCUAACACAUGCAAGUCGAACGAGUGGCGGACGGGUGAGUAAUGUCUGGGAAACUGCCCGAUGGAGGGGGAUAACUACUGGAAACGGUAGCUAAUACCGCAUACCAUCGGAUGUGCCCAGAUGGGAUGAGCGUGUAGGUGAGGUAACGGCUCACCUAGGCGAAGAUCCCUAGAUGGUCUGAGAGGAUGACCAGCGACUAGGGAAAUGAGACACGGUCCAGACUCCUACGGGAGGCAGCAGUGGGGAAUAUUGCACAAUGGGCGCAAGCCUGAUGCAGCCAUGCUGCGGGGAUGAAGAAGGCCUUCGGGUUUUAAAGUACUUUCGGCGGGGAGGCGUUACCCGCAGAUGAAGCACCGGCUAACUCCGUGCCAGCAGCCGCGGUAAUAC